CAGAAAAGCAAAGACCAAGCUCGUACUUUUCAGUCCGCGGCUUGUGUGCCGCGAGGAGAGGCGCAAAGGGUGACACACCAGGAAAGGUAGCAGGCAAGAGUGUGGUUAUCGUUGGACCAGGAUUCAGGAUCUGACCGAGUAGCUGACUCUUAAUCCAGUUUGUGUUGAUCACCAGGAGGAUCUGGACCUCAGUGUUAUCACAUCUAAAGCUAUAAUCACAUCCCUGUUAAGCCUUCCUGAGAUCACACCAAAUGUCCUUGAUGGGAAUUGUAAACAACCCUUACUUCUGGUUUCUAAUGAUAUUCCAGGAAAGGAGCCUAACUAGAGUCAGUGAUAUGCCAACUCCACCUUUGCCUUCCACCAUGUUUGGAAGCUCCCUGAGGCCUCACCAGGAGCAGAUGCUCGUCCCAUGCUUCCUAUAAGCCUGCAGAACUGUGAGCCAUAAUAAACUGUGAAUUAUAAAUUGCCUUUAUAGCAAUGCAAAUGGACCAGUACAGAUGGGAUGCUGGGAAGACAGUUGUUCCACCUUCAGUAAAGUCCAUGGAACACAGUUGUGACUAUAUUCUAGGCCAGCCAAGAUGCUUGUACUCAGAAAGGAGUGAUCUCAGGACCAUAAGAAAGUGAAAAAAUAAAAAUAAGAAAACAAAGAAGGGAUUGUCAAUGAAUCAGAAUUCAUCAAGGUCAAAGUCUUAGGAAAUUCCUUCAUGAGGAAGUCUAGGGGGGCUAUGGAAAUGAAAAUUUUUAAACAAAUAGGUAUGUGGUGCUGGCAGGAAUAAAUUAUGGACUUAUGAAUAUAACAUAAGAUUCUUUAUUACCUGGUCUCACCCGUCUUUCCACCUCUGCCCCCCUUCUUGCCCGACUCUGUGUAUCACCCAUAAUAAACUACUUACAGCUUCCUAGUGUUAAAUUUACCCUAAAGCUGCCUCCUUCAAUAUUUUAAGUUUAACCUAAAGGUUCUUCAUACAUAGUGAACUAUAACCCAAUGAUUAAACAGAUUGUAACCUACUCUUGUACCAGUCACCAAGUUUCAGCCAAUCAGAGGUGGCCAACUGUUCAAACCAUGCUCAAAUAAGGGAAAUGUCAUGGUGUAACUAAUCCAGCUGUUUCUAUAUCUUACUUCUGUUUUCUUAGGUCACUUUCCUUUUUCUGUCCAUAAAUUCUCUCCAACCACUCAGCAGCACUGGAGUCACUCCAAAGCUAUCCUGGUUCAGGGGUCUGUCUGAUUCACAAGUCAUUCUUUGUUCAAUUGAGCUCUGCUAAAUUUAAUUUGUCUGAAGUUUUUCUUUUAACAGAUGGUGUCAGAAAUGGACCCCAAAGUAGAGCUCCCAGUGAUCCCCCAGGAGCACUGAGUGACCACAAGGGGUACCUGCUGGGCCCGUCCUCUCGCAGUGUCCACUGCUCUCUUACAGCAACUGGAGAUUGUGGCUACAUUCUCUCUCAGAUUCUGAAGCUCCAUACAUUGCCGUUUUCAGCUGUUCAAGCUUGCUUGAGCAAAUUUUUGAUCUUAGCUGAGUUUGGAAGUCGAUAGACAUUGGACUGGGUCCAGGAUUUGAUUGGAUCUGAUAAUUAACUGGCUUGGAUGCAGUUAGAUGCCUCGGGUAUCUGACUGGGUCAGAUAGAAACCGCCAGUAAAUAUUUUGAUAACAAUACUGCAGGGGUAUGAACUCUGGCUUUAAGAAACUCACAAGGAAUUUUAUGUUCUAUACCCUUUGUUUCUUUUUCUUGUGUGCUUCGGUCAGGAAAAAUCAUUAGUCAAGUUAAUCAAGGGGAUCUGAGAGCCAAAUACAAGAUUCAACGUAAAAAUGGAAUCCUUGGGCUGGGUGUGGUGGCUCAGGCCUGUAAUCCCAGGACUUUGGGAGGCUGAGGCAGGCGGAUCACCUGACCUUAGGAGUUCGAGACCAGUCUGGCCAACAUGGUGAAACCCCGUCUCCACUAAAAAUGCAAAAAUUAGCCAGUCGUGGUGGUGGGCACCUGUAAUCCCAGCUACUUUGGAGGCUGAGGCAGGAUAAUCACUUGAACCCAGGAGGCAGAGGUUGCAGUGAUCUCAGAUUGCGCCACUGCACUCCAGCCUGGGCGAAAGAGCGAGACUCCAUCUCAUAAAUAAAUACAUAAAUAAAUAAAGAAAUCCUUAAUUUCUGCGGAACUGAGUGCUCUACCUUCUGGCUACACCUACAUAUACCUGUAUGAGGUAUAGGCCCUGGAAGCAGCAAACACUUACAGAAAUGGUGAAAUCUUACUAAAGGUAAUCUAAAGUUAUGGUGGAACAUCUCAAAUGAACAACACUGCACUUUAGGAAGUACAUAUAAAAAUGAAGUCUCCCAAUUUAGUAUUAUUCAGGGAUGGCUGUUGAAGUUCAGAAGCUUCUAAAAAGAUUCCAAUAAUUUUAUAGAUUCUUUUAAAAGAUUCUUUGUAAAAGGCAAAUAAAAAGCUUAAGUGACUAAUCAGAAAAAUUAGGUCUUCUAACCUUUUGUCAUUGUUACUGUCUUGCCCUGAAAGGGAAAAGAAAGCUGGAUAAAGUAUUUAUAGAAGAUAGAGGACCUGUGGUGGCUCAUGCCUGUAAUCCAAGGUGGAAGGAUUGCUUGAGGCCAGAAGUUCAAGACCAGUCCAAGCAACAUAGCAAGGCCCCAUCUCUACAAAAAAAUGAAAAUAAAAUUAGCCGAGCGUGAUGGCUCAUGCCUGUAGUUCUAGCUUCCAGAGAGGCUGAGGCAGGAGGAUUGCUUGAGUCCAGGAGUUCAAGAUUACAAUGAGCUAUGGUCACACCACUGCACUCCAGCCUGGGUGAUGGAGUGAGACUGUCUCAAUAAAAAGACAAAAAGGUAAGCCCUUAGGUAAAGUAAGCUUGCUUCUUUGUUAGAGCUAUCCAUGCCGAGUCCAGGCAAAGAAAAUGCUUUCUUUGGCCUGGUGCGGUGGCUCAUGCCUGUAAUCCCAACACUUUUG
rnacentral:lncRNA from 1 species